CCCAUUAUUUAUAAAACAGACAGACAGACAGACAACUUUAUUUAUCCCCGAAGGGAAAUUGCGUUGUUAUAGUAGUCCAGUGUCAUAAGUGGCAUAAACUAGGAAUAAAAAAUAGAAGUAAAAUAUACAAUAUAAGUAAAGUGGAAUAAAAAUAGAAAUAAAAUAAAGAUAGAAAUCCAGAGUGGAUUGGCAGAUAAAGUGCAGUGGCAAGAUGAU